AGUGAACGCUGGCGGUAGGCCUAACACAUGCAAGUCGAACGGCAGCACAGUAAGAGCUUGCUCUUACGGGUGGCGAGUGGCGGAGGGGUGAGGAAUAAAUCGGAAUCUACUUUUUCGUGGGGGAUAACGUAGGGAAACUUACGCUAAUACCGCAUACGACCUACGGGUGAAAGCAGGGGAUCUUCGGACCUUGCGCGAUUGAAUGAGCCGAUGUCGGAUUAGCUAGUUGGCGGGGUAAAGGCCCACCAAGGCGACGAUCCGUAGCUGGUCUGAGAGGAUGAUCUGCCACACUGGAACUGAGACACGGUCCAGACUCCUACGGGAGGCAGCAGUGGGGAAUAUUGGACAAUGGGCGCAAGCCUGAUCCAGCCAUACCGCGUGGGUGAAGAAGGCCUUCGGGUUGUAAAGCCCUUUUGUUGGGAAAGAAAAGCAGCAGGUUAAUACCCCGCUGUUCUGACGGUACCCAAAGAAUAAGCACCGGCUAACUUCGUG
rnacentral:rRNA from 1 species